UCUCCGUAGGUGAACCUGCGUAGGGAUCUUUACUGAGUGAGGGCUCACGCCCGACCUCCAACCCUUUUGUGAACCACCUCGUUGCUUCGGGGGCGACCCUGCCGUUUGCGGCGUGGAGCCCCCGGAGCCCAUCAAACCCUGCGUAACUAAGUCGUCGGAGUUUAAACAAAUUAAACAAAACUUUCAACAACGGAUCUCUUGGUUCGGGCAUCGAUGAAGAACGCAGC
rnacentral:misc_RNA from 1 species